UUUGCUAAUUUGCGUACGCCUGUUUUUCAGUUGGUACAUUUUACCAAUGUGUACCGGAUUUCAGUAGACAAAAAUACCUUUAUAUAUCAUGAAUUCUAAGUUUUAAGGUUAAGGAUAUUUUAAUAAUUUUCCUUCUCAAAAUUAAAAAAAUAAAAAAAGAAACCCCCAAACCCUUAUCCACGUCUCUCAUUCCUCUCAACCCUUUCUUUUUCAUCUCUUUCACCCCAACCUUUUCUCUGUCAUCCCUUACUCUAGCCCCAAUUGAAAAAAAUCAGAAACACUUGCCUUAUUUUAAUAAUUUUCAUUCUCAAAACUAAAAAAAGAAACCCCAAACCCUUACCCACGUCCUUCAUUCCUCUCAACCCUUUCUCCUUCAUCUCUCUCACUCAAACAUUUUCUGUGUCAUCUCUGCACUAGCUCCAACUAAAAAAACACUCAUUAUUAAACAAUU
rnacentral:lncRNA from 1 species